AUGGUGACCAGCUCCGGCGGCGACGGCGCACACGGAGUCGACGGAAGCGGCAACGACGCACUCGGCGGCGAGGGUGGUGAGUCGGCCGCAGCGGUGGGCCUGUCGCCGGAGCCUGGUACCGAGGAAGCAGCUUUGCAGAUUGGUCCCAAGGAUGUGCUCCUGUUCGCCCCAUCUUCAGCUCGGCCUGAAGAUUUAUGGUCAAUCUAUUUCCAGUUUCCUGGGAAGAAGUAUGCUCUUGUUAAGAUGUCUGAAAGAGAAAUCACUUAUGGUAGUUUGGUCAAUGUAAUGGUCACCAAUGGAUACUGUAAGGAUGGCAGUCUUUGCUACUUGAAAGAGGAAGAUAUAGGGCUGCAAGGUGUUUGUGUCAUUAAAGGCAACAUUGAAGUAGUUCGAAUGCCGAGAGAAUUUGAGAGCACCCAGACAUUGUCACUGACAGUUGUAAAGGUAAAGUUAGUUAUUCAACCACCAAUUGGAGAAGAUCAAGAUGCACAGCAAAUAGAUGCAGAGCCAGAUGUUGUCUUUGUUGUUGCUGAAUCAGGUGUUGUGCACAAAUCAGUUCCUCCUAACUGUCAGUUACAUCUUGGGACACAGGAAAGUGUAAAUUUUUUGCCACUCAAAUCAGUUCCUCCUAACUGUCAGUUACAUCUUGGGACACAACUUAACACUGAAGUAAGUGUCAAUUAUGCUGAUUUUCAGUUUGAUUCAGAUGAGGAGGACAAUGCAGUUAGUGAGGAAGAAAUUCCUGUAGGAGAAGAAGAAGAUGACUCAGAUUCAAGCAGUGAUGAAGAAUUUGUAGUUGAUGUGGACCUCUUAGGUGCAGGAGAAGAAGAAGAUGACUCAGAUUCAGUGCAGUAUGUGGAAGAACAGAGAGCAAAGAGGAGGAAAGAGGAACCUGAGUUAGAUGAAACUAUUGCUGACAUAAAGAGGAAGAGAGCUGAAUACAUGGCUAGUACACACUGUGAGGGGGACACAGAUGCUGAAAAUAUAUAUGACAUCGACCAGGAAGAAGAUGAUGAGGAGGCCCAAGAGAUCCCAGUUCCUGAGCCUGUUAAGAAGAAGGCAAAGAGGCCAGCUCCUACAAGUAGGUCCCACUCAAGUGCUGGGCCAACCAUUAAUCCUGAUUGGUUUCCAUCUUUAGAAGAGGAAGAUACAGGCUUUGAAGGAGAUGAUGAUGGCAAUGAACCAAUGUCCUUUGUUAUCAGCUCUGGCAGAAGGAGUAGAGCUAAGAAAAGACCACCUAGGGUCUGGUAUGAUGAGGACAGGAUGCAUCCAGAACAACAAUUUCAGCUGAAGCUCUGUUUCAAAGAUGUUUACCAAUUCAGAGAGGCCCUUGUCUACUUGCAUGUGAAACAACUUAGAAGAUACAAAUAUCACAGAAACUGCAGUGAUAGGAUAAUAGUUUGCUGUGAUGGAGAUGGAUGUCAGUUCUACAUGGUAGCAGCACAGAUAAGAAAUGAGCCCACUUUCUGCAUUAAGAAGAUGAUGUUGGAGCACACAUGUACCACCCAGUCUGAGAAAACUAGGAUUAGUUCAAGGUGGCUUGGCAACAAAAUGCUUGAAACUAUCAGAUCAGAUCCCAACACUACUGUACCUGCUAUUGUUGACAAGGCAAAUAGGCAAUUUGGGCUUGAGAUUCCUAGGAUGAUGGCAUGGAGGGCUAAGAAGAAAGCAAAGGAGAUUGUGCUUGGUGAUCACAAGAAGCAAUAUAAGAGGCUGAGAGACUAUUUGGAGACUGUGAAGCUUACAAAUCCUGGAUCUAGGUGCAUUGUCACUACUAUUAGUGGCAAACCCAGAGAAAAUCCUACUGCUGGACCAAGGAUCCAUGGUCUAUUUUUCAGUUUGAAUGCAUGUUGUGAGGGCUUCUUGAAUGGAUGAGGAAGUGAAGAGGGCAAAUUUGGAAAGUACACAUUCAUGUCUGAUAGACAGAAGGGUCUACUCAAUGCAGUGAUAGCAGUAUUCCCAAACUACCAUCAUAGGUACUGUUUGAGGCACAUCUAUGCAAACUUCCAGAGAGCAGGAUUUGGAGGAGAGGAUUUGAAGAGAUGCAUGGAUGCAGUUGCCUAUGGUUACACUGAACAUGACUUUAAUUUGGCUAUGGAAAGCAUGAAGGCUGAGUGCACUGCUGCUUGGGAGUGGAUGUCAAGAAUUCCUCCUAAAGCUUGGUCUAGGCAUGCAAUGGACACUAAUUGCAAAACUGAUUUGGUGGUGAAUAACUUAAGUGAAGUUUUUAAUAAGUACAUUCUAGAUGUAAGGAACAAGCCAAUUGUUACAAUGAUCAAUGGGAUCAAGGACAAGUUUCUAGUGAGGUUCCACCAGAAGAGAGAGGGUGGAAAAUGUGCUAGAUGGGAGAUUGCACCAACCUAUGCAGAGAGGUUGGAGAUGAACAAGAAGUAUGCAAGGGAUUGCAAAGCACUGAUAGCUGGCCAAGGACUUUUCCAAGUCACUAGUGGAGACAAGACCUAUGGUGUUGACACAAACCUACAGACAUGUGGGUGCAAGAAAUGGGACAUCACUGGAGUUCCUUGCAACCAUGCUUGUUCUGCCAUCUAUAGGUCUAAACAGCUGCCAGAGGAUCAUAUCAAUGUGUUUUUCCAGAAAUCUAUGUACUUGGAGGCAUAUAAGCCAGAAAACAGGACUGUACCUGAAUGGCACCAUGGUGCAGCUUCAUCUGCUACUGGAAGUGCUAGGGGUGCACCAUCAUCAUCUACUACAAACUCCUCUCCUGCUGCUGCAAGAGGUGCAAAGACUACUAGUGCUGCAGGAAGGGGUGCAUCCUCAUCUCCUGCUGCUGGAAGGGGUGCUAGUUCAUCUGCUGCUGCUGGAAGAGGAGCAAAGUCUGCUACUACUCCUGGAAGGGGUGCUAGUUCUUCUCCUACUGCUGGGAGAGGUGCAAGAUCUUCCACUGCUGCUGGAAGGGGUGCAAAAAGGUUCAAGCCUCCAAGAAGUUCUGCAGAAGCUUCUACUAGCCAGCCUGCAGGCAGUAGGCCAAAGAGGACAAAGUACAUGAGCAAGAGGAUGGAGGGGUACUUUUAUGCCAGAGGAAGUGAAGAGGGCAAAUUUGGAAAGUACACAUUCAUGUCUGAUAGACAGAAGGGUCUACUCAAUGCAGUGACAGCAGUAUUCCCAAACUACCAUCAUAGGUACUGUUUGAGGCACAUCUAUGCAAACUUCAAGAGAGCAGGAUUUGGAGGAGAGGAUUUGAAGAGAUGCAUGGAUGCAGUUGCCUAUGGUUACACUGAACAUGACUUUAAUUUGGCUAUGGAAAGCAUGAAGGCUGAGUGCACUGCUGCUUGGGAGUGGAUAUCAAGAAUUCCUCCUAAAGCUUGGUCUAGGCAUGCAAUGGACACUAAUUGCAAAACUGAUUUGGUGGUGAAUAACUUAAGUGAAGUUUUUAAUAAGUACAUUCUAGAUGUAAGGAACAAGCCAAUUGUUACAAUGAUCAAUGGGAUCAAGGACAAGUUUCUAGUGAGGUUCCACCAGAAGAGAGAGGGUGGAAAAUGUGCUAGAUGGGAGAUUGCACCAACCUAUGCAGAGAGGUUGGAGAUGAACAAGAAGUAUGCAAGGGAUUGCAAAGCACUGAUAGCUGGCCAAGGACUUUUCCAAGUCACUAGUGGAGACAAGACCUAUGGUGUUGACACAAACCUACAGACAUGUGGGUGCAAGAAAUGGGACAUCACUGGAGUUCCUUGCAACCAUGCUUGUUCUGCCAUCUAUAGGUCUAAACAGCUGCCAGAGGAUCAUAUCAAUGUGUUUUUCCAGAAAUCUAUGUACUUGGAGGCAUAUAAGCCAGAAAAGAGGACUGUACCUGAAUGGCACCAUGGUGCAGCUUCAUCAGCUACUGGAAGUGCUAGGGGUGCACCAUCAUCAUCUACUACAAACUCCUCUCCUGCUGCUGCAAGAGGUGCAAAGACUACUAGUGCUGCAGGAAGGGGUGCAUCCUCAUCUCCUGCUGCUGGAAGGGGUGCUAGUUCAUCUGCUGCUGCUGGAAGAGGAGCAAAGUCUGCUACUACUCCUGGAAGGGGUGCUAGUUCUUCUCCUACUGCUGGGAGAGGUGCAAGAUCUUCCACUGCUGCUGGAAGGGGUGCAAAAAGGUUCAAGCCUCCAAGAAGUUCUGCAGAAGCUUCUACUAGCCAGCCUGCAGGCAGUAGGCCAAAGAGGACAAAGUACAUGAGCAAGAGGAUGGAGGGGUACUUUUAUGCCAGUGGGAACUAUUAA
rnacentral:rRNA from 1 species